rnacentral:rRNA from 1 species
CCUCCAGACUCCUACGGGAGGCAGCAGUGAGGAAUAUUGGUCAAUGGGCGGAAGCCUGAACCAGCCAAGUCGCGUGAGGGAAGAAGGCCCUGCGGGUCGCAGACCUCUUUGGACGGGGAGCAAGGCCGCCGACGUGUCGGCGGAAGGAGAGUACCCGUAGAACAAGCACCGGCUAACUCCGUGCCAGCAGCCGCGGUAAUACGGGGGGUGCGAGCGUUAAUCGGAAUUACUGGGCGUAAAGCGCACGUAGGCUGUUGUGUAAGUCAGGGGUGAAAUCCCACGGCUCAACCGUGGAACUGCCCUUGAUACUGCAUGACUGGAAUCCGGGAGAGGGUGGCGGAAUUCCAGGUGUAGGAGUGAAAUCCGUAGAUAUCUGGAGGAACAUCAGUGGCGAAGGCGGCCACCUGGACCGGUAUUGACGCUGAGGUGCGAAAGCGUGGGGAGCAAACAGGAUUAGAUACCCCCGUA